rnacentral:rRNA from 1 species
UACGUAGGGCGCAAGCGUUGUCCGGAAUUAUUGGGCGUAAAGAGCUCGUAGGUGGCUUGUCACGUCUGCCGUGAAAGCCCAUGGCUUAACUGUGGGUCUGCGGUGGAUACGGGCUGGCUAGAGGUAGGUAGGGGCAAGCGGAAUUCCUGGUGUAGCGGUGAAAUGCGUAGAUAUCGGGAAGAACACCCGUGGCGAAGGCGGUUCUCUGGGACGGUACUGACGCUGAGACGCGAAAGCGUGGGGAGCGAACAGG